rnacentral:rRNA from 1 species
GACGAACGCUGGCGGCGUGCCUAAUACAUGCAAGUCGAGCGAAGUUUUUCUGGUGCUUGCACCGGAAAAACUUAGCGGCGAACGGGUGAGUAACACGUAAAGAACCUGCCUCAUAGACUGGGACAACUAUUGGAAACGAUAACUAAUACCGGAUAAUAGCAUUAACUGCAUGGUUGAUGUUUAAAAGUUGGUUUUGCUAACACUAUGAGAUGGCUUUGCGGUGCAUUAGCUAGUUGGUGGGGUAAAGGCCUACCAAGGCGACGAUGCAUAGCCGACCUGAGAGGGUGAUCGGCCACACUGGGACUGAGACACGGCCCAGACUCCUACGGGAGGCAGCAGUAGGGAAUCUUCCGCAAUGGGCGAAAGCCUGACGGAGCAACGCCGCGUGAGUGAAGAAGGAUUUCGGUUCGUAAAGCUCUGUUGUUAGGGAAGAAUGAUUGUGUAGUAACUAUACACAGUAGAGACGGUACCUAACCAGAAAGCCACGGCUAACUACGUG